rnacentral:lncRNA from 1 species
UCCACUUUUCUUGCUUUGAUGAACUUUCUUGGAAAUAUUUUGAGCUCCAUGUGAGUUUAGGGGUUAUGGUAGUUGAGAUUGAUAGAAAGGACCACGCCAGGCAUGAUGCAGGUGAUUCCGUAUCCCUGUAUUUAACACAAAAAGAUUAUGAUGCUUCAAGUGAAGGAAUUGGUGCCUGAUUUCAACCGCAGUCGCAUUUGUUUUGGGAUGGCUCUCAGUGCUUCCAAAACCUCUGGAUGCAGAAUCUGCAGACUGUAUUAGAUAAGUAUUGCUUACCUGAAGCUCUGGGGUCUUUUCUCCGGAAGCUGUAUCAAGUGAUAGAUUAAAUUUACACACCUUAGUUUCAUUCUGCUGCAUUAAAUUAUGCUUCUUGUUAUAGUUGUCACAUUGGAUCGAGGAAAGAGGAUUGACAUGUUUUGCUAACAUCAUAUAUAACACAGAGAAACAGCUCCUUUAUACAAUUUUUUGACUGGGUAAUUUUUUUUAUUAAUGUUGGGAACAACUCUCUUUUAGUAGUAUACCGAAAAGUAUCGAACCUAAAAAAGAUAUGAUUCUCUACAAAAAAAUUAACCAAUUAGAUGGUCAAAUUAAAGUAAACAGCGUAGAAAGGUUAGGUGUUGUUUCCUCAGCUCAUCAGUGCCAGAUGUUGACUGAUUUGCCCAAUUUUUUGUGUUCUUGAGCCCUAAAAGAAAACUAGAUCUGUGAAAAGGUCGUAGUAAGAUCACUUCUUUCCGGGGUUGUGGUGAGGUGUACAUCCCAUCAUCUGCAUGACUGACUUGCUCAGAUUCACAAACUACAAGCUGAAGAAUUUCUUCAACGGAUUGAAUCAUAGCAUCAGUGAGAGGUUUUGACAAUUGAUUGAUUCACUCCAAGCUAGGUAGUUCCUGGUUAAUCUGACUCAUGGAGCUGCUGGGUGGGAGUCCCUAUUUUGCUUCAUCGAUUUCUCCAAGGAAGAAGAUGAACAGUGAGUUGGGAGAGGAAACGAUGGGUGAUCGGACUUGGA